GCAGAACAGCUGGCGGCGCGCCUAACACAUGCAAGUCGAGCGGGAACCAGGGCUUCGGCCCUGGGGACAGCGGCGAACGGGUGAGUAACACGUGGAUAACCUGCCCUCGGCACCGGAAUAGCCCGGGGAAACCCGGAUUAAUGCCGGAUAGCCCCACAUCCCUGCGGGGAACGUGGGAAAAGGUAGCUUCGGCCUCUGGCCGAGGAUGGGUCCGCGGUGGAUUAGCUUGUUGGCGGGGUAACGGCCCACCAAGGCGACGAUCCAUAGCUGGUCUGAGAGGACGAUCAGCCACACUGGGACUGAGACACGGCCCAGACUCCUACGGGAGGCAGCAGUGGGGAAUCUUGCGCAAUGGGCGAAAGCCUGACGCAGCGACGCCGCGUGCGGGAAGAAGGCCUUCGGGUUGUAAACCGCUUUCAGGAGGGACGAAGCCACUCGGGUUAAUAGCCCAGAGGGUGACGGUACCUCCAGAAGAAGCCCCGGCUAACUACGUGCCAGCAGCCGCGGUAAUACGUAGGGGGCAAGCGUUGUCCGGAUUCAUUGGGCGUAAAGAGCGUGUAGGCGGCCAGGUAGGUCGGUUGUGAAAACUGGAGGCUCAACCUUCAGAGGUCGACCGAAACCAUCUGGCUAGAGUCCGGGAGAGGAGAGUGGAAUUCCUGGUGUAGCGGUGAAAUGCGCAGAUAUCAGGAAGAACACCCGUGGCGAAAGCGGCUCUCUGGAACGGUACUGACGCUGAGACGCGAAAGCGUGGGGAGCGAACAGGAUUAGAUACCCUGGUAGUCCACGCCGUAAACGAUGGGCACUAGGUGUGG
rnacentral:rRNA from 1 species